rnacentral:pre_miRNA from 1 species
AAUAAACCAAUUUUUCACCUUUUACCUACGAUUUUUGACUCUUCGUCUUAUUAAAAAACAAUUUGCAAUUGAUAUUUUUGUUUUUAUUAGAUGAUAAAUUGUGAAUAGUAAUUUACGUGUGACUAACUUUUUUUUAAUUUUCUGAAAAUUUUUUAAAUAAGACAUAUGGUCAAAUAUUGGACACGGAAAUCAAAG